AUACGUAGGUGGCAAGCGUUGUCCGGAAUUAUUGGGCGUAAAGCGCGCGCAGGCGGUCUCUUAAGUCUGAUGUGAAAGCCCCCGGCUCAACCGGGGAGGGUCAUCGGAAACUGGGAGACUUGAGUGCAGAAGAGAAGAGUGGAAUUCCACGUGUAGCGGUGAAAUGCGUAGAGAUAUGGAGGAACACCAGUGGCGAAGGCGGCUUCCUGGCCUGUAACUGACGCUCAGGCGCGAAAGCGUGGGGAGCAAACAGGAUUAGAUACCCUGGUAGUCCACGCCGUAAACGAUGAGUGCUAAGUGUUGGAGGGUUUCCGCCCUUCAGUGCUGCAGCUAACGCAUUAAGCACUCCGCCUGGGGAGUACGGCCGCAAGGCUGAA
rnacentral:rRNA from 1 species